rnacentral:tRNA from 1 species
GUAAUGGUGGCUGAAUUUAUAGGCGAAGUGUUGUAAGUACUUUUAUGAAUAAUGUUUAUUCCCAUUUCA